rnacentral:rRNA from 1 species
UGGGGAAUAUUGCACAAUGGACGGAAGUUUGAUGCAGCGACGCCGCGUGGAGGGUGUAGGCCUUCGGGUUGUGAACUCCUUUUACUCGCGAAAAAGGCACAGUUUUGGCUGUGUUGAUGGUAGUGGGGGAAGAAGUGCCGGCUAACUACGUGCCAGCAGCCGCGGUAAUACGUAGGGCGCGAGCGUUGUCCGGAUUUAUUGGGUGUAAAGAGCUCGUAGGUGGUUCGUCGCCUCUGUCGUGAAAGCCAGCAGCUUAACUGUUGGUCUGCGGUGGGUACGGGCGGGCUUUAGUGCGGUAGGGGUGACUGGAAUUCCUUGUGUAGCGGUGGAAUGCGCAGAUAUCAGGGGGAACACCGAUGGCGAAGGUUGGUCACUGUGCCGUUACUGACACUGAGGAGCGAAAGCGUGGCUAGCGAACAGG